UUUCAAUUUCUCUCCUUCUUUUCCAAGUACACAGGGAAGAGAGAGACACAGAUGAAUCGUCACCUCUGGAUGAACUCAUCAAGACCACACAGUUAGAUUGGUCAACAGUUCUCAUAGAGAUCUCCAAGGUUACCACAGGAUUUGUUCCUAUUGGGAAUUGAGAUCAUUCUCCCCAUUGAUUCAUAUAAAGGAAAAUUUGAAUGCACACACUCCUUCAGUCAGAGGGACGAGGGAGACACAGAAUAAGCAUCAGCUCUGGAUGACCUCAUUAAGGCAAUUCAUCUUGAAUACUCAGGCCUGGAAGCUGAAUAAAAGUAACAUGGGCACGGAAGUUAGAUCUGCUCAGGUGUUCCUUAAUUUUUUACAACAGUAUUGACUAUGACCUACAGCUGCCUUAAGCACACAUUUAGAUGGGAGGGAGAAAUAUAUCAACAGCUCUGAAUGAGUUCUGAAGGAGCAGCAGGAGCUCUGCCUGCUCAGUCUGUCUGACAGGCACCGGAACCACCAACACUUGCUGGACAAUAAAGAUUAUUACACUUACUCCAAUUCACUUUAAUUGCCUAAGGAAGUGAUUUCAUCCUGAAUGCUCAAGUUGAGAAAUUGAAGAACCACCUCAUGAAUAUGAAAGCUACACGUUGGGGAUGAGAAUGAGAUAGAACAAGAGACACAGGAGAUGGAGACAAGACAAGAAUUCUGAUCAAGUCUUGCUUCUUCAAGGGAAUAAUCCAGGUCUGAGAAGCUGGCAACCAAGAUGUGGCCUUCUUUACAACAAAAUGGUCCACCUGUGGCCAACUAGAAUCCACUUAAAACCUGAGAGAGCUUGGAAAGGGGUUCUAGACAUAAACCCCAGAGGAUUACAUCUCUCAGGAACUGAUCCUGUCACCUGUGUAGCAAAAUAUUUAUUGCCUCUGAAACUUCUGCUUCUCUUUAAGCAUGUGGAAUCCCUGUCUCAGUAUUGCAUGCUCUGUAUAUGCAAGGAAGGUAAUUCAUCUCAGGUUUCAGUUACUGACAGAGACUAGGGG